GACGAACGCUGGCGGCGUGCUUAACACAUGCAAGUCGAACGGAAAGGCCCGGCUUUUGCGGGGUGCUCGAGUGGCGAACGGGUGAGUAACACGUGAGUAACCUGCCCUUGACUUUGUGAUAACUUCAGGAAACUGGGGCUAAUACCGGAGAGGAGCUACUGCUGCAUGGGGGGGGUUGGAAAGUUUCGGCGGUAGUGGAUGGACUCGCGGCUUAUCAGCUGGUUGGGGAGGUAGUGGCUUACCAAGGCUAUGACGGGUAGCCGGCCUGAGAGGGGUACCGGCCACAUUGGGACUGAGAUACGGCGCAGUCUCCUAUGGGACGCAGCAGUGGAGAGUCUUGCACAAUGGGCCGAAGCCUGAUACAGCAGCGCCGCGUGCGGAAUGCUGUGUUUCGGGUUGUAAACCGAUUUCGCCUGUGACAAAGCGUUAGUGACGGUACUGGGUAAAGAAGCACCGGCUAACUACGUG
rnacentral:rRNA from 1 species